rnacentral:rRNA from 1 species
UGGGGAAUAUUGGACAAUGGGCGCAAGCCUGAUCCAGCCAUGCCGCGUGAGUGAUGAAGGCCCUAGGGUUGUAAAGCUCUUUCACCGGUGAAGAUAAUGACGGUAACCGGAGAAGAAGCCCCGGCUAACUUCGUGCCAGCAGCCGCGGUAAUACGAAGGGGGCUAGCGUUGUUCGGAUUUACUGGGCGUAAAGCGCACGUAGGCGGACUAUUAAGUCAGGGGUGAAAUCCCGGGGCUCAACCCCGGAACUGCCUUUGAUACUGGUAGUCUUGAGUUCGAGAGAGGUGAGUGGAAUUCCGAGUGUAGAGGUGAAAUUCGUAGAUAUUCGGAGGAACACCAGUGGCGAAGGCGGCUCACUGGCUCGAUACUGACGCUGAGGUGCGUAAGCGUGGGGAGCAAACAGG